GCUUGCGUGGUCCAAUGGUUAGGAUUCCACCCUUCCAUUACCAUAUGAAAGGUGGAGGUUAGUCUUAACUAUCAACUUGUCACAAAACCAUAUACUUACAAUUAUCAGGUUCGUGUUCGAUUCACGGCGCUUGCA